UGAAGGUGUGUGUGUGUGUGUAUGGGUGAAGGUGUGUGUGUGUAUGGGUGAAGGUGUAUGUGUGUAUGGGUGAAGGUGUGUGUGUGUAUGGGUGAAGGUGUGUGUGUGUAUGGGUGUGUAUGUUUUCGUGUGUAAAGUCCUUGGUGUACUUCUUGCAGAGGCUGAGUGUGAGGUUGAGUGUAGUUGUUGGCAGAAUUAAGCUGUACACUUUGUGUGUGUGUGUAAGUGUGUGUUUUCAUGUGUAAAGUCCUCGGUGUACUUCUCGCAGAGGUUGAGUGUAGUUGUGGGCAGAAUGAAGCGGUACUAGCGGCUGUGUGUGUGUGUGUGUGUGUGUGUGAGAGAUUGGAGCGUUCAGCCAAAACGAAUCCAGCGAGAACAUUCCAGCUUGUUGAAGUUAUGUCUUCACACAGGAAGCUUUGCUGCGCUGAGUGUAUACCGAGGCGUCGCGAGUUAAGUCCCAAAUGAUCGUAUUCGCAGCAAACACAAUUAACACUUUACACCAAGUCAAAAUCUGAGCCAAUAACUUCUAAAUAAAUCUGUGUGUUGCUGAGUAUGCACCGUGACAAUCGGGGAAGUGUUUCGAAAAUGCUUUAGUUCUUAGUUUUGAGGCACGAUAGAAAAGAACACUUCGUCUACAAAGUGAAUCAAAUAAACUCAGAAUUCACUGGGAAAAAAACAAUUUUCACUAAUAUACGAUGGCAUUUUAGGGCCACUGUUUAAAAAAUAAAUAAAUAAACAGUAUAUUUUGAGAAAAGGUUGUAAUUUUAUUAUUAUUAGGAAAAACGGGGUGGGGGGGGCACAUUUCAAGAAUGACGUCAUAAUACUAUGACAGAAUGACACAGUGAAAAUAAAGAAAUGCUUCAUCUUCUGGUGGAUCAGCACCAGAUAAUUAUUAAUAUUAGAGAAUUAUGAGACAACCCUGGAAGACAUUUUUCAUUUCACCACGAGAACCUGGAGGAACUGAAGGAGGAAUCGCAGGCAGUAUGGAUAUGACCCUCAUGUGUUACGGCACAUUAACUCAUUAUUAAGGUUAAGUUUAUUGUACGAGGUGUACGCCAUAAAGCGUUGGGCUUCAGGGUCGAUCUUUCAUCUACACGUCCUCGCUGAAGAGCACGCAGACGUAGUCAUCAGUAGCGUUGUGGACGAACCCUGCCUGCGAUUUCUCUUCCAGUAAGAGAGACUAUAACGUCACCAAAUCCUCAUCCUCCCUCGUUUUAAACACAAACGCUUUAUGAAGCAUUGUGUCCUAACAUUAUGACUUUUUUUUUUUUUUUUUUCUCGUGAAUCACAACUUUGUCUGUAGUAUUCUGACUUUAUUUUCCAAAUAUUAUGAGUUUACUCUCAAGUUGGGGUUUUUUUGUUUUUGUUUUUUUCCUCACAAUAUUCAACUUCUAUUCUCAAAAUCUUACGUUUUUAUUUUGGCCCUAAAACACACCUUUAAAAAAGAACUGCUCUAUUUGUCUAAACCAAUUGUUCUGUUCUAAACAAUCUGAGCAGCAUGUUUGUUUACUUUUCAUUAUUUCAAUAAUAAAAAUAAAAGUUUUUUAGCGUGAUUGGAUGGGGUGGGGACGAUUCUGGAGUUUGGUGGGUUCCUAUUUUUUGUUCGAGCUCAGCUGUAGACAUUGUAUUGCAGAUAAAUUCCUUUUUUUUUUUUUCUUUUUCUUUUUCUAAACGACCUAUCUGCAGCAGUAAAAUAAUCUUAGUGUUACUUUUAUUUUUUACUUGUUUGUACACACAUUGCAGCCCAGAAUUUGUUGUUUGGGGGAAAAAAAAAAAAAAAUUUCUCCAAUGUUCUUUUCAAGCUGCCUCAGCAAUGAGUGAGGGAUGCUGAGCUUUGUUCACAGAAACUCGAGUCAGAUAAAGGGGUGCUUUUUAUUGUUUUAAUCCACUGAUGGAAAAAUAGUUUGUGUCCAAAGCAUGAAUAUCCUCAGAGCCAAUUUUGCGAAGCAUGAAAGAUUCCUUGACCUAAACACUGAAAUAUUGGCAUUGUUUCAGCGAUGUAUUCCAGGCAAAUCUUGCAUCUGAUCUAGAGGAACGCAUACGUCUAUGGAGAAAUCCCGUAUUCGCUCAACAUCACUGAAGUCUUGUGGCCCAUGCAGAAUACAACUGAAAACAUGAAUUUACUAUGAGGACUUAAAUAAUGUUGAUUUGGCUCAGAAUUUGUGCACCACUGACCAACCAGGGUUCUUGUGAACACUGUCUCUCCCUCUCUCUCUCCUUCUCUGAUUUGCUGUGUCUUAAAGUAAGCAAAACUCAAGCAGGGUAUGUGUUUGGAAAAAAAUAAACUAUUACCUGCAACUCA